rnacentral:piRNA from 1 species
UAGGGAAUGUAAGAAAAGGUAACAUCCUCUC